GAGAUGAGCUCAGUUGGGCAGAGUAUGGUGCUAAUAACACCAUGGUUGAAGGUUUGAUUCCUGUACGUGCCA